rnacentral:rRNA from 1 species
UACGUAGGGUCCGAGCGUUGUCCGGAAUUACUGGGCGUAAAGAGCUCGUAGGUGGUUUGUCGCGUUGUUCGUGAAAACUCACAGCUCAACUGUGGGCGUGCGGGCGAUACGGGCAGACUAGAGUACUGCAGGGGAGACUGGAAUUCCUGGUGUAGCGGUGGAAUGCGCAGAUAUCGGGAGGAACACCGGUGGCGAAGGCGGCGACCUGGGUAGAUACUGACGCUGAGGUGCGAAAGCGUGGGGAGCAAACAGG